GGGUGGUGGAGAGCCAAAAAAAAACGGUUAGCUUACGCCCAGCAUCUCCUCCCAAGCGGUUCGCGGGUGUGCCGUACCGUAGUUUACCGUAGAGACCAAAAAUAACGCAUGAUGAUUUCAUAUGCGGCUAAUUUUAGAACACGAAAAGUAAACCUUGCCUGGCCGCUCAUUCAAGCGGCCGUGUACUCUAAGCGAGGUUCUCGGAUGGUUCACGAGCAUUAUGGUCGCGCGCAGUACUAUCGAGAGGAAAUUACGCCCGCAUGCCUAAUGGAACACUCUCCCAAUGAUGAUGAUGAUGGUUUGGUACCACAUUUGGGCAGCAGUUUUUCCGUUCGCCCAACGAUUUCCACACGAGAUGCUGGAAAAAGGUUAGACGUUGCCCGAGUAUUCGAACGGGGCAGCAAUGCGUUUAAUGCGAGAACCAGGAAAUCAGUUUCUACUACUACUGCUGCGCGAUUCCAGUAGGCCGCUGCUGCUGAUGCAUUCCCCUGUUAUCAGUAUCUCUAUGUACAGUCGUAUACGGAGGAGGCCUUGGGUUCCAGUUACAGCAAAAGUCUGCUGGUUAUCGUCGAGGAAUGAGUGAGUGUUUGUGUUUUACACCCCAUUGCUCCCCUGGCCGGCGGCCCUUUCCGUUGCUUUCCGGGAAUUGCUUCUUUUCGUUCGACAGUGCCUUAUUUUAUGAAUCACGCCCGAUAGCAUCCGCCUUUUGCCACCGAUAAACGCAUGAACAGUGGCGUGCUCUUUACCUCCUAUUCCUCGUCAUUAGACUUAGAGCGCAAUUGGAUUUUUCACACAACACAACCACCACAAAGAAGGUAUACACGCCCCAGUGCCUUAUCUUGAGGUGGGGAGGGUGAGCGCAAUAGGUCUAACACGCACGCACACACACGACGCACCAGAUGCAGAAAUAGUGCCUCAUUUUUCACUUUUACCAACUACAAAUCGACCGUACACCACCGCCCACACGCCAAGCUGCAAUUUAAUGAUCCACACGUACCUGUUUCGACGCGGUUGAGGAUGUUUUUCACACGGAAAAUUGCACGGAAAAUGUUCGGGUGUAUCGAGCGAAGAGGAGCCACGGCGAAGACG